UUCGGAUACAAAUAUGGGAAUGUCAUUGGAGAUGUUCUUUGCUCCUUUUACCCAAAGAACAAAAAGGAUCUAUAUUUUGGGAUAUUCGUUGUCAAUUCGGUCAUGUUGCUGAUAUGGCAAUUUUGUUUCAUUGUAACAACACAUGCAUAUGGUCGAACAUAUUUGUUCUCUCUCUGUGUGUUUGUUAGAUUGCUGUGAAAUUUAGGUUUCACUAUGCUAUUGGCUUCCAAGUUCAUCUUUUAGAACUAUGGUGAAUAGUGAAUACUCUGAAUUUUGUAUACUGUGCAAUAUUUCUGCUGGAUGAUUUUAUUGUACUUCUUAUUCAUGUAUGCUGAUUGAUUCUUUUCCUUUUUCAUUCCCCUUUGUUUAGGGACUACCAAAUAUGACUGAUUCUUUAGGCAUGCUUAAAUCAUGAUAAUGAUGGACUUUUUUUUGUCACUAAAUUGGUUUGGGACUUUGAACUGGCUCAAGGAAGAAACUGGUGACCUCUUGAGGUUGUAUAAGGAAAAGUUGGCUAUGGCAAAUUGCAAUUAAUUGAUUUAAGGAAAAGUUGGAUAUGGAUAUGUGGAUGCCAGGGGAUUGGUUAGUGAUGGCCCUCUGAAAUACAAACCUGAAUCAUCUAGUUUUUGACACAAUGGGGCAGUCAUUUGAAAUUUUCUGUUCAUCAGGAAGUUUGAAUUUUCUGUUCAUCUGAUGAACGUAAGUGGAAGUUCCUCAUUGCCGAAAUGAAUUAACUGUCGGACAUUCCUUUCUGGAAAGGUAUUACCUAUGUUGUGUUGAGUGUUAAAUGUGUUUGUGAGUUGUGAACUUCUGAAGACAAUACCCAGCCCUACUGGGCUUGGAUUUGGGAAUUGAAACUGUCACAAAAACUACAAGGGUUUCUUUGGAUCUGUCUUUUAGAAAGAACGUGGAAAUAGAGUCUGAUUUCGCGCAUCGUGGCUGUGAUUAUGGAGGCUGAUGGAUCCUUUGACAACUCUACGUGUGGGAACAUAUUGAAGAAUGUCGAGUACUGAUGAAGGAACUGCACAACAUGGUUUGAGGGAGGCUAACAAGGUGGCAGAUAAACUUGCCAAGAUGAUGUGCAGCUCAAGACAUUCAAAUGGUGUCACUGACCGGCCCCCCAGAUGAACUUAUGUAAUUCCUCGGGAUAAGGCAGUUGGAAUAGAAUUUGGAAGUCUUUGAGCUUAAAUUUUUUUUUCCGCCCUGUUCUUUUUGUUUUGAUUUUCGCAGCAGCCGCAAAAAAAUAACUUGCCAAUAUGUAAUGGUUGAUGAUUGAUACAGUGUACCAUCACCUGUUCAUCUUGGUAACUUGUCCUGGUGAGUUUUUCCCUUCUUAUUUUUUUCAGCUAACAUGGAGUUUGGAUCUUGUAGCCGACCCCACAAGAGGGUAAUGAAUCAUAUAGCUGGCUCGAAUUGAUUGGAACACAAGCCGUAGUUUACGUUUGGUGAUAGUGCUUGUCUCGCGUGUAACAAUGCUAGUACAUUUCAUUUCUUCCUUUUGCUGAUGGCGCCAAUUAUUCCCAUUGUAUAGACAAAACCGUUAAUGUUUUUGUUCAUCAAAUAGAGUUGAUUCGUUGUCU